rnacentral:rRNA from 1 species
CCUACGGGCGGCAGCAGUGGGGAAUAUUGCACAAUGGGCGCAAGCCUGAUGCAGCCAUGCCGCGUGUGUGAAGAAGGCCUUCGGGUUGUAAAGCACUUUCAGCGGGGAGGAAGGCGUUAAGGUUAAUAACCUUGUCGAUUGACGUUACCCGCAGAAGAAGCACCGGCUAACUCCGUGCCAGCAGCCGCGGUAAUACGGAGGGUGCAAGCGUUAAUCGGAAUUACUGGGCGUAAAGCGCACGCAGGCGGUCUGUCAAGUCGGAUGUGAAAUCCCCGGGCUCAACCUGGGAACUGCAUUCGAAACUGGCAGGCUAGAGUCUUGUAGAGGGGGGUAGAAUUCCUGGUGUAGCGGUGAAAUGCGUAGAGAUCUGGAGGAAUACCGGUGGCGAAGGCGGCCCCCUGGACAAAGACUGACGCUCAGGUGCGAAAGCGUGGGGAGCAAACAGGAUUAGAUACCCGUGUAGUC